UUGCAAUUAUUACUGUUAACUUUUUGGGAGAGGAACUUUUUGUCUACUUCUUCUGUUUGUACAGCACCUAGCACAACACAGCCAUGACCUUAAAACAGUGACGAUAAAUAAACAGAAUAACUAGCAGGAAAUCGUGACCGUUUGGUGAGAAGGGCUCGAUCUCAGCUGGGAACAGGCAAUGCAGCAUCAUUUUCACUCCAGCACAAACUGCCUAUUCUUGACGACUCGACCAAAGGAAGCAGAGGCAGAGUGACUCCUAGCAAAGCACAUCUGCAAGGCUGUAUUUCACAGGAAGUAAUGCAGCUCCUCUGCAGAUAAGUUUCACCGAAGAACAAAGAAUAAUUUUGUUCAAUGCUUCAAGAGUGGUGCAUUGAAACCUGGACCUAGCUUUUCAGUUCCUGAAAACAAGACUCAGAACUAAAACUUAACUCCCCCUUCCCCAAAUUAAGCACUAUGGCUUUCAAACCAGCCUCCAUUUUCCAUGUGAGGAAAGCUUAAAAAAUGCCCAUUGAUCUCCAUCCCUGUUUAGAUGUUUUAUUAGACUAUUUUGCCAAAUACGCACAAAAGUUAGCACUUUUGAGAUAAACAGUAGAGCAAUAACAGCUUAACCUGUUGUGUAAAAUGCAGCCCCCAAUGCAGAUCUGCUGUUAAGGUGAAGUGACAAAAUAUUUAUGACUAAGAACAAGAUAAGAGGCAUAAUAAUGGAUUAGCAGACAGUAUUGUCAUUAAUUGCAAAUAUAUCCUGAUCUUAAAUCUUUCCUGUAUGCCAUGAAUUUCAGAGGCAUGCUAUCCACCACAGUUGGUUUUGUAGCAGCUAAACAUUUAACACGAGAUAGUGAGGUGUGUUUCUGAAUGAUACAAGCAGCAUUUAUUCAGGAGUUAGAUGUAGUUAGGAGCCAAAAAUAUCAUCAUAUUAAAAACAAAUGGCAGAGCAAAGAUUACCCUCAGUGCCCCCUCUUUUAGCUUGUGCAGCACAUUCUGAUCAAAGCAGAAGAGAGGCUGUCAAGUACUCUGUUAUAGUUUAAUUUUCUAUUUAAUCUCAAUUGUUUGCAAUGCCCUUGCCCUCCUUUAAAAGCUGGAAAUUAUAAUUCCUUUCU